rnacentral:rRNA from 1 species
GACGGAGGAGGCAAGCGUUGUCCGGAAUUAUUGGGCGUAAAGGGUACGUAGGCGGCUGGUCAAGUCUGGGGUUAAAGGCCACAGCUCAACUGUGGGAAGGCCCUGGAAACUGACCGGCUAGAGUGCGGUAGGGGUUGCGGGAAUUCCCGGUGUAGCGGUGAAAUGCGUAGAGAUCGGGAAGAACACCUGAGGCGGAAGCGCGCAACUGGGCCUCAACUGACGCUGAGGUACGAAAGCUAGGGGAGCGAAUGGG